CGCCAGACUCCUACGGGAGGCAGCAGUGGGGGAUAUUGCACAAUGGGGGGAACCCUGAUGCAGCGACGCCGCGUGGGUGAAGGAGUGCUUCGGCAUGUAAAGCCCUAUCGGCAGGGAAGAAGGAGGACGGUACCUGACUAAGAAGCCCCGGCUAACUACGUGCCAGCAGCCGCGGUAAUACGUAGGGGGCAAGCGUUAUCCGGAUUUACUGGGUGUAAAGGGGGCGCAGACGGCAGCGCAAGCCAGGAGUGAAAGCCCGGGGCCCAACCCCGGGACUGCUCUUGGAACUGCGCGGCUGGAGUGCAGGAGGGGCAGGCGGAAUUCCUGGUGUAGCGGUGAAAUGCGUAGAUAUCAGGAGGAACACCGGUGGCGAAGGCGGCCUGCUGGACUGCGACUGACGUUGAGGCCCGAAAGCGUGGGGAGCAAACAGGAUUAGAUACCCGAGUA
rnacentral:rRNA from 1 species